GUCAAUAUAUGCAAUAUCUUGCUCUAAGACUUAGACUUAGUAGAUUAUAUUCCUUGGUCAAUAAUGGUGAGACUGUGAAUUCAAAUAGCAUUAAUCAAGUUAAGGAUAAAAUGAAAAAACUCCAAUAUGACCGUAUGAUCUCUCUAAAAGCUGAAAAUGAAUUCGAUAGUUGGGGUUUCACAGCCCCAGAUCCUUUUCAAGCGUGUAAGGAAAGAGUAUGUAAGAAAGCCAUAGCAGGACUGGUAGAUCAAGAUGGUGAAACACAAACAGAAAGUAAGGACAUUAUAAAUAUUGUCACAAAAUAUUUUAAGCAAUUGUUUGCAAGACAGCCUAUUGCAAAUGAAAAUAUUGUAAAAUAUUUGCAAGAUGUUGAUAAUCCGGUAUUAAAUGC